GGUGAACGCUGGCGGCGUGCUUAAGACAUGCAAGUCGAACGAUCGUCUUCGGACGGUAGUGGCCCACGGGUGGGUACCGCGUAACUGACCUGCCCCCAAGUUCCUAAUAACCCUCCGAAAGGAGGUCUAAUACGGGAUGUGUUGUCCCCUCCUGUGUGGCCAGCAAAGGCUUUCCCGCUUGGGGAUGGGGUUGCGUUGCAUCAGCUAGUUGGUGGGGUAAAGGUUUACCAUUGCAUCGACGGAUAACCGGCCUGAGAGGCUGGCCGUGCGCAGCGGUACUGACACACAGGGCCGACACCUACGGGAGGCAGCAGUUAGAGAGCUUACGCAAUGGAGGAAAAUCUGAGGGGGGGACGGCGCGUGAGCGAUGAAGGUAAUCGGAUCGUAAACCUCGGAAUCAGGGACAAAAGACGCGGAAGAGGGAUGACGGUACCAGAGUAAUAGCACCGGCUAACUCCGUG
rnacentral:rRNA from 1 species